rnacentral:lncRNA from 1 species
UUUGGGUGGAAAUCAUUUCUGUGUGCCUUACUGAUAGUUUUAAAAAUGAACCAAACUGUAUUGCUAGAGAGAAUAGUAAUUAUUCACAUCAAAACAGUACAUUGGAAAUAUAGAUUUGAUCUCCUUAUGUGUUUUCUGUAACUGUCUGCUAGAUGGUAACAUUUGCCUCAUCUUCUAAUAUGUAUACAUUAAUUACUAUAUAAAGGCACAAAAAUAAUUCAGAAGAGAUGGCUCUAUCAACUGCUAUGUUUUGCUUAAAGAUUUCCAGUACUUUAAAGAGGGGCCUACCACUCACUCCUCAGCAGUCCCUGUCCUUGUAGUUGAGUAUUCUCCAAAGCCUCCUUUUCUUUUAAAAGUCAGGUUUUCAAACAUUAGUGCUCCAGUCCUUGGACCAUUGCUUUAACAUGCCUCCUGGGAUUUCAGAUAAUGUGUUAAGAUCCAGCCAGUAUUGAAGCCAGUUUUCGUAGAAUGCACCUCCAAUGAAAUUUUGAAGACCUCUCACUGUGUACAUACAUACCCACAUGCUCAUGCACCCACACAUAUGACGUUGUGCUUCAUAAAUUUGUGUGUUUUUUGUUUUUGCUGUGUGUUGUUGCUGUUGCCUCCACACCUGAUGUUGGAGCGUGAAGUCCACAGUGCAGGCAGUUAGGAAAGGAAGAUCGUGAGGCUGUAGGGACACACAAGGAUGGACUGAAUCUCUCUUUGUUCUUAUUGUCCCGUCCUUAGUGAUGACGUGUCCUGUGGAAGCCAGAGCUGCCCUUUUGCUUCUUCACAGAUAUAAAAUUAGACACUUGGCCCAUGAGCUAGAGAAGCAGAAGGAGGCUCCAGGGAAGGUGGAAGAGUUGUAGCCCAGCUGCUGUACAUCACCACAGUGCACCAUCACCUCAGUAGUAGUGUGUGUGAGCUUCAGAAGGGUUGCACUUGCCUUCCCUUUUGUCCUUCAUCCAGGUGCUGUCAUGACAUUGCUGACAUCUGCAGGUUGGGGCUUGUCCUCCCCAUAGGCCUGUCUCUGCAUCCACCCUGGAAAGAAGAAUGUAACACUUUAGGUUGAUCCUGACCUGGACCUGCAGGUACAGAGAUGCUACCUUUGAUUGUUGACUCUGUGCUCUCCUUCUGGGGCAAAGACUUCUAUCUUUUAAUGUUAAAAGGGCAAUGUUAUGUAUAGUUCAUACAUUUUAAAGAAUUUAUAAAAAAACCCUUUUCUGAAAUAACCAGUGAGAUAAAGGAACAACAGGUAGUUUUUUAAAUUAAACUCCUGUGAGUGGGUGUUGAUUUAUGCUUGGCCGUGUUUUAUUCCACAUGUUGUCUGUUCUCACUCUCUAGUAAGUAUGCAUGCUUCAGGAAUCUUCAUUGCCUGCCAGUUGUGGUCUCUGGCUCACUCGCUUGCUUUUGUGUUCUCUCUUUUGCUAUAACAGACUUGGCCUUCUGGGCUGCUUGCUUGUUAACAUAUUCUAAAAUGAAAAAAAAAAAUGACACAAAUUUCUAAUUUCAAAAGCUGAGAACUACAAGAUGGAACAUUAGGACCUACUGCUCCUCCUGAACAUGUGUGUCUUAUACUUCCCUGAACAUAUUAACUAAGAAAGUUGGUCCCACAGUGCUCAGAAACACUGUGGUCAGAAAUCACAAGCAUAUCAUUUCUGAGUGGAGAUUUCACAAUAUACAUAAAACUCAAUUAAUUGAAGGGAAAAUCUUGGUUCUUACAUAUUUCUGGACUCCUAGGAGUAAUGUAUCACUGAGGAAAACCUGUAUUUCUUAGAUACAUUUUAUUUAUCUAUUUAUUUAUAUGGUUAUUUUAUUUGGAAAAAAAUUGAUUUUCACUUUGGUUUAGUCAAUUGUAACUUUUUCUAUCUAGAAAAGAAAAAGCACACCUCACUCAAAACAGGAAUUAGGGAAAAAAAGGAAAUUUGAAGUCAGUUAAAAAGAGUCAUAGGAAAAAUAUAUAGCAGUUGUUAAUAUGGUUAGAUGUGUAUUAUAGCAUAAUCCUUUUUUAGAAACCUUUUAUUUAAUAAAUAUAAAUUUUGAAAGUACA